UACUGGCUAGAGUAGAUGUGGGGAAAUUCAGUGCAGGGGUAAAAUGAUAUUUUUAAAACUUUUUCAAAAUUAUGAUUUUACAGCAGAAAAAUAUUAAUUAAUCUAAUUAAUUAACAUGAAUUUAUCCUACACUAGGAUCUAAAUAUGAUAUAUAGCAUGCAUGUAUUUAAAUUUGAAAUUCGAAUUUAAACAGUAAACACUUUACUGUAAUGUGUUCAGAACACAAUACCUUUGUGCGGGUAGUAGAUCGUCGCAAUCUGAUCACC
rnacentral:lncRNA from 1 species